GCCUGGGUGGCUUAGUUGGUUAAGCAUCUGACUUUCAUUCAGGUCAUGAUCUUGUGGUUCCUAGGUCCAAGCCCCACCUAGGGCU
rnacentral:tRNA from 1 species